AACUUUCAGCAAUUUUAGCCCAUUGAGUGUGUCUUGGUAAGUUGGUAAGAUAGCAAAAAGCAAGGUUGAAUUCAGUCUUCACCAAAGACAAGCAAGGGCUUAUCUCAUCUUUUACCCAGAUCAGUUCCAUUUCUUUUUUAGGAUAUAAAACAUAGUGACCAUUGGGAGAGGCACAUAAUUUCAAUAAGCAACUACAUAAUCUCUUUUCUACAACAAAAUUGAAAAACAAAAAAAUCAUACUGCAGUUUUAAAGUAACAUACAGCUCUAGAUAUCUCUAACACAAGAAAAGAAAUGUUACUCACCUUUAUUGCUUUCAUUCUUGGAAG
rnacentral:misc_RNA from 1 species